UACGUAGGGGGCAAGCGUUGUCCGGAUUUAUUGGGCGUAAAGAGCGUGUAGGCGGCUUUACAGGUCCGUUGUGAAAACUCGAGGCUUAACCUCGAGAUGUCAUCGGAAACCAUUUGGCUAGAGUCCGGAAGAGGAAAGUGGAAUUCCUGGUGUAGCGGUGAAAUGCGCAGAUAUCAGGAAGAACACCAAUGGCGAAAGCAGCUUUCUGGGACGGUACUGACGCUGAGACGCGAAAGCGUGGGGAGCGAACAGG
rnacentral:rRNA from 1 species